GCUCCCCAUCGCUUGACUCUCUCCCCUCUCUGUUUAACCGGUCUGGAGCUUCCCAUCUCCUCACUCCAUCUCUUCCCCAAAAAUCACCCAAGCUCUGUACCUCCUCUGACCGAAUUUUUGGCGUUGAAGCUCCACCGCUGUGGUGACGCCAUUGUCGAUUUCGCCCGGUGAUCAUCCAUGGCAAGGACGGCAGUAGUUUCUGUUCAGUCCGUAUGAGGAGGAGUCCGGAGAGCACGUUCACCUAUCCGCCUCAUCAUCAUGGAACUCAGUCCACGCCUCGCCGAACCCUGGAGACCGCCUGAACACUGAGUCCGCCUCCAUCAUCUUACUCGUAACCAGCUUUGUGGUCGCUGUUUGUGUGAAGAGCGACGUGUUUUGCUGAGAGAAGUGAACGAUCUUCA